AGCGAACGCUGGCGGCAGGCCUAACACAUGCAAGUCGAACGAACCUUUCGGGGUUAGUGGCGGACGGGUGAGUAACACGUGGGAACGUGCCUUUAGGUUCGGAAUAACUCAGGGAAACUUGUGCUAAUACCGAAUGUGCCCUUCGGGGGAAAGAUUAAUCGCCUUUAGAGCGGCCCGCGUCUGAUUAGCUAGUUGGUUGAGGUAAUGGCUCACCAAGGCGACGAUCAGUAGCUGGUCUGAGAGGAUGAUCAGCCACAUUGGGACUGAGACACGGCCCAAACUCCUACGGGAGGCAGCAGUGGGGAAUCUUGCGCAAUGGGCGAAAGCCUGACGCAGCCAUGCCGCGUGAAUGAUGAAGGUCUUAGGAUUGUAAAAUUCUUUCACCGGGGACGAUAAUGACGGUACCCGGAGGAGAAGCCCCGGCUAACUUCGUG
rnacentral:rRNA from 1 species